GGGAAUAAAUAAGAGUAUGUCUUGCAGUCUUCAUCAGUACUUGAAGAGAUUGUUUGAUAUUGCGUAUUCAUCCACCGUCUCAAGUUCCAAUUUCUAAGCCAAGUAAGAUAAUUAUGGACACCAAAGUUGCCUGCCUGUUGUUGAUCAUUUUGGGGGCCCUUACCGUACAGGGUGCAGUCUCCGGAAACAGGAGGAUGAACCCCUUGCAGGCCAGGAACAUAGAUAGGAUGUGCGAUGACAUGCUUAAUGCAAUUUGCGUCCCGAGGGGCGCAAGUUGCCCGUUUAAUCAUGUACAUUGCUCCCCGGACUGCCCGUAUGGAAAUAAAUGCUGCUGCAUGCUCGAGUAUUGAUUGUAGCAAUGACGUCUCGACAAUUGAAUGACGGUCUUAACUUAGUAUUAAAAUGAUAAUUGGGAAAAUAAUAGCUGAAGAAUUAAGUUAGUAAAUGUGAUUAUUGAGUAAAUGCGGAAUGCGGGGUUGGGAUUCUGGUAAAUGUGGGUAAUUUGAGAACUUCAAAAAAAUGUAACAAGCGGAUAAAUAAAGGCUGAAUCGUUCAAUAACGUU